rnacentral:tRNA from 3 species
AGGCGCUUAGCUCAGCUGGGAGAGCGCUACCUUCACACGGUAGAGGUCAACGGUUCGAUCCCGUUAGCGCCUACCA